CACUAAAGAACAAACAGAAAGGAAAUCAUGUUGCUAAUGGGCGCCAACCGAGAAGCAGACAGGAUGACAUUAACUGCGUCCUCCUGCAAACGUCUUCAUUCAAACAGUACAUAUAACAAAUGAGACGCAAAGCAGCAGCAUCUAUGAAUCAUCAAAGAAAAGGAAAGAUUUCCCACUAGUAAAACAACACCGACACCAUGUGUGUGUGUGUGUGUGUGUUUACACAGGACGCCGGCUGUCUAGAGAAAACCAACUCAGCAGCAUCGCUACACCCACACAUGAAAGCAGAAGCUCCCCCAGAGAUCAUGCACACAAAACUACUGAAGAGGAAAGAAGACGAGGAGGAGCAGGAGGAAGACAAAAGGAGGAUUGAUGAAGGAGAGAAGCAAGGCGAGGUGACAGGAGAAGUGAGUGGCAGUCUGCCGCCUGCCGGUACUACAGCGGAUGAUGGAUUGAUCCAACACACUCACAGCAUAACACUUGUUCUCACACUCACACUCACACACACACACACACACACACACACACACACACACACACACACACAGGUCUGUAACGUCCUGUCCUCCCUCCGCAGACAGUCAAGGUUGUUCUGCAUGAAUCAUCACUCUCAGCUCUGUAUGCCUCCUUCCCUCUCAUCAUCCUCAUCGUCAUACAUCUAUUUCCUUUCACCUCUGACAUCACAGUAAACAACGACCCAAGAAGCUGUUUACGCUUGUGUGUCUGUGUGUGUGGGGGGGGGGGG
ensembl:lncRNA